UACGGAGGGGGCUAGCGUUGUUCGGAAUUACUGGGCGUAAAGAGCGCGCAGGCGGUCGUUCAAGUCGAGUGUGAAAGCCCCCGGCUCAACUGGGGAGGGUCAUUCGAUACUGAUCGACUGGAAGGCAGGAGAGGGAAGUGGAAUUCCCGGUGUAGUGGUGAAAUGCGUAGAUAUCGGGAGGAACACCAGUGGCGAAGGCGACUUCCUGGCCUGUUCUUGACGCUGAGGCGCGAAAGCUAGGGGAGCAAACGGG
rnacentral:rRNA from 1 species